UACGUAGGUGGCAAGCGUUGUCCGGAAUUAUUGGGCGUAAAGCGCUCGCAGGCGGUCUUUUAAGUCUGAUGUGAAAUCUCGUGGCUCAACCACGAACGGUCAUUGGAAACUGGGGGACUUGAGUACAGAAGAGGAGAGUGGAAUUCCACGUGUAGCGGUGAAAUGCGUAGAGAUGUGGAGGAACACCAGUGGCGAAGGCGACUCUCUGGUCUGUAACUGACGCUGAGGAGCGAAAGCAUGGGGAGCGAACAGG
rnacentral:rRNA from 1 species